UGAGGAGGAGAGGAUCUGAAAAGACAUCAUGGGAAAAAAUCAGAAGCUCAAAGAGCCAGAUCAAUAAUCAUAUGCAAGAAUCAUGAUAUCACGACUGGGAGUCAGCACAUCUUUAUCAUCCCUAACUUGAACACAGCGAGCCGUUCUGCAACUCUGUAUUUCUCCGUAUGAUCUGCUUACACUCUGGAUAAUCAACUUCUGCUGGAGCUGGCAUGGGAUUUCUGCCCUCUCUGCAUUCCUGGAGGUUGCACAAAGGAAAGACAACCCAGUCUGCAGCGUGCGUGCUCUGGAGCCCCUAAAGCACGGCAGUGCUCAUCCGACACGAAGCUACAUGGGAAUAAAUGGGAGUUUUUAUUUGCUGUUCCGACUUUCACAAGAAUUGGAUGAUCCGAUGAAUCAUUCGAACCUGGUCAUGCAUGGUUGGGGAAGCAUCAGAGUCACCCUACCAGAGUUCAAGACAUAGGUUGUUCUGUCUGAAGAGUCCCUGGCCGUUCUGGACAGGAAGUUAGAAUUCCUUGUUCUUCCGGUUACGCUGUUCAAGGAUCACUCUUACUUUAUAAAAAA